UACGGAGGUGACAAGCGUUGUCCGGAUUUACUGGGCGUAAAGAGCGCGCAGGCGGUCGAUCAAGUCGAGUGUGAAAGCCCCCGGCUCAACUGGGGAGGGUCAUUCGAUACUGAUCGACUCGAAGGCAGGAGAGGGUAGUGGAAUUCCCGGUGUAGUGGUGAAAUGCGUAGAUAUCGGGAGGAACACCAGUGGCGAAGGCGACUACCUGGCCUGUUCUUGACGCUGAGGCGCGAAAGCUAGGGGAGCAAACGGG
rnacentral:rRNA from 1 species